rnacentral:misc_RNA from 1 species
AUAUUUCUUCAAGCCGCCGCCCCUGCUCCUUUUUAUUUGCGCGCGUCUUCUUCUCCAGUCACAUGGUCUUCUUCUUCCUGCUAGCCGCGGCAACCGAGCUCCCCUGCUUCCCUGCCGGUGCCGCCCAGCCGCUCCCUCCUCUUCUCCCCAUGGUUACUCCCUCCAUCGAGAUCGGUCUCUGCAACUCCCAGCCCCAGCCCUCAACGCCGGCGCGCGGACUGCGCCCCUCCUCCUAUUCGCCAUGGCUGCGUCGGUCUCCAGCUCGCGGUGUCCCCUUCAGCCGAACUCCUCCCUCAAGCUCGCCGUGGAGCUUCCUUUCUCCAACCGCGCAGGCGAGAAUCUCCCUGGUGCCGCGUUGCCCCCCCCUGCUCGCUCGGUGCCCAUCUCCAUGGCCGUUGCGUCGAGUUCUGAGCUCGCGCUCAGCUCCCUCUACUUCUCCCUGUGCCUUGCUGAGCCCCUGCUUCUCUCUUCCUCCCGUGCCGCGCCCCCUCAGUCCACCUCCCUGCUCGCCCUCCAGCUUCCACAGCCCAGCUCAGAUUUUUUCCAUGGUCGCUACGCACUAGUCGAGCGCUCUACACCAGCAGUCGUCGUUUGCCUUAGCGCCAGCAGGGCUUUGUCUCGCUCGUCCUGCUGCUCUUGCCCUGGUCAGCAGCCGAGACGCUCGCUUCUGUUCCUUAUGUUCAAGCCACCAAACGCCAGUGCCCUCUCAGUCUCCAGGCCGUAUGCUGCUAAUUCCCUGCCGCGCCGAGCUCCCUGUCCACUCAUCGGACCAUGCCAAGUCAUGGCACUCGCCCUGGUCCCGUGCUUGCGCAGCUUGCUGGUGGCCCGGCCACUCGCCAUCGGCCUCACCUUCAUGACACAACGCCAUCGGCUCCCCUGUCCGACGCGUCGUCAACCUGCCGUGCGAGCUAGCUCCACCUCUCCUGCUCGUGUUUCUCUCCGUCGUGCUUGGCAGCAAGUACUUCAUGUCGAAGCAAUAGCUACGAUUGAUAGCACCUAGAGGGGGGUGAAUAGGUGAUCCUGUAAAAACUUGAAACUUAAAGCCACAAACUUGAUUAAGUGUUAGCACAAUGAAAUCAAGUGACUAAGGAGAGCUCUUGUGAACCACAAUUAACACAGUAAGAACAAGCACAAGAGACACAAGAAUUUAUCCUGUGGUUCGACCAAGUACAAUACUUGCCUAGUCCACGUUGUGGCGUCCCAAUGGACGAGAGUUGCACUCAACUCCUUUCAAGUGAUCCAAAGAUCAACUUGAAUACCACAUUGUUCUUCUUUCUUUUCUCUUUCUCGUUUGCGAGGAAUCUCCACAACUUGGAGCCUCUCGCCUUUACAAUAAGAUGAUCACAAAGAAGCACAGAUGUAAGAGUGGGAAGAGCAACACAACCAAGCCUCAAAGCACGAGCACAAACACGCACACAAGUCACAACUUGAGCUCUAAGAUCACACACGGAGUUCUCAACUCAAGAGGAGCUCAAAUUGCUAUCACAACGAAUCAAAUGCGCUAGAGAGAUGUAUUGGUGCUAAGAGAUGAUCAAACGAAUGCUUGGUGUACUCCUUCAUGCGCCUAGGGGUCCCUUUUAUAGCCCCAAGGCAGGUAGGAGCCGUUGAGAGCAAUCUAGGAAGGCAAAUCUUGCCUUCUAUCGACUGGUGCACCGGACAGUCCGGUGCACCACCGGACACUGUCCGUUGCAGAUUUCUUUCCUAUUCUGGCGUAGUCGACCGUUGAAGAAUUGGAGCCGUUGGCGC